AACGAACGCUGGCGGCGUGGAUUAGGCAUGCAAGUCGAACGUGAAAGGGGCUUCGGCCCUGAGUAAAGUGGCAAACGGGUGAGUAACGCGUGGAGAACCUGCCCGGAAGCGGGGGAUAACACUUCUAACGAGGUGCUAAUACCGCAUGUGUCUGCGUGAGCGCAUGCUCGCGCAGGUAAACGUGGCCUCUGCUCGCGAGCUACGGCUUCCGGAUGGCUCUGCGUCUCAUUAGCUAGUUGGUGGGGUAACGGCUCACCAAGGCGACGAUGGGUAGCUGGUCUGAGAGGAUGGUCAGCCACACUGGGACUGAGAUACGGCCCAGACUCCUACGGGAGGCAGCAGUCGAGAGGCUUCCGCAAUGGGGAAACCCUGACGGAGCGACG
rnacentral:rRNA from 1 species